rnacentral:rRNA from 1 species
UACAGAGGUCUCAAGCGUUGUUCGGAUUCAUUGGGCGUAAAGGGUGCGUAGGCGGUCCUAUAAGUCAGUGGUGAAAUACGGCAGCUCAACUGUCGAGGUGCCAUUGAUACUGCAGGACUAGAGUACUGUUGAGGUAGGCGGAAUGGACGGUGUAGCGGUGAAAUGCUUAGAUAUCGUCCAGAACACCGAUAGCGAAGGCAGCUUACUAAAGAGUAACUGACGCUGAGGCACGAAAGUGUGGGGAUCAAACAGG